rnacentral:lncRNA from 1 species
AAGCACUCUUAAUACUGGCUUUGCCAUUGUCCUUAACUUGCUUUUUAAUUAUGCAGGUGGUAAACUACCCAAGGACAGCAGAGAAGAGGGGAUACAUGCUCCCAGACAGGGUGGGCAAGGAGCCCUAAGUGUCCUAGUUAUUACUGCUUGGAUCAGUAAUGGUCCAAAGUCUUGACUGAAGGAAGAAAAUAAAGUCAAGGGAGAAACUGAAGACA